AACUGGUGCUAAUACCGUAUAUCCCCUGAGGGGGGAAAGAUUUAUCGCCAUGGGAGGAGCCCGCGUAGGAUUAGCUAGUUGGUGGGGUAACGGCCUACCAAGGCGACGAUCUUUAGCUGGUCUGAGAGGAUGAUCAGCCACACUGGGACUGAGACACGGCCCAGACUCCUACGGGUGGCAGCAGUGGGGAAUAUUGGACAAUGGGCGAAAGCCUGAUCCAGCAAUGCCGCGUGAGUGAUGAAGGCCCUAGGGUUGUAAAGCUCUUUUACCAGGGAUGAUAAUGACAGUACCUGGAGAAUAAGCUCCGGCUAACUCCGUG
rnacentral:rRNA from 1 species